CAUCGCAAUGGGGAAAGGGGACAAUAACCUCCGUAAAUUCAAAGAAUAACAUCUCGGUAGAUGGUAUGCCACGCCACGUUUUGGACAUACGGAGGAUUGUCCAUGCCCCGGAGGAUGGGACAAGCAACAGUGGGCAAGACGAUAACAACAGACAGGAUGACGAGGUCGGCAGCAACACGCCAGAAACAAGUCCUAGGGUCGCACUGCGACCACAGAGGGAGCGGCACCCUCCUCCCUGGUUGGCUGACUAUGAAACCAGUUUCAGGUGCGGGAGCGAGUGAGGAAGCCGGUUCAGUGAUCUAUAGAUCAGGGGGGCGUGUGGUGUGGUGAUGAGGGAGUGUGACAGAGAGGGAGGGAGUGGAAGUGGGUCUUGCAGGUCUCGCAGGGCGCAUGCGCCGGCGGAAGCGGAAGUGAGAGACAGAACGCACGUGCGGCAUCGACCAGGGCAGUCAGACUCGAGAACGACGCCAAGACGACAAGACGCUAGCAAGUUGGCUCAAGGCGAAUCCGGCUUCAUCUCUACAGGUGAUGAUGCAUGGUUUUG